rnacentral:snoRNA from 1 species
AUUCUUUUGUGGUUCAUAAGCUGGAUUAUUGGGUAUUCACAUGCAAGUGUGAGAUGUGCCACCCUAGAACCUUGUUAGAAAGUGUACACAUUACCCACCUGACG